rnacentral:rRNA from 1 species
AGAGUUCGAUCCUGACACAGGAUAAACGCUGGCGACAUGCUUAACACAUGCAAGUCGAAUGGGAAACACGGGAAACAGCGUUUCCAGUGGAAGACAGGUGAGUAAUGCAUAAGAACCUGCCCUCGGGAGGGGAACAAUAGCUAGAAACGUCUGCUAAUACCCCAUAGGCUGAGGAGAAAAAGGGGGAAUCCACUCGAGGAGGGGCUCGCAUCUGAUUAGCUAGUUGGUGAGGUAAUAGCUUACCAAGGUGAUGAUCAGUAGCUAGUCCGAGAGGAUGAUCAGCCACACUGGGAUUGAGACAUGACCCAGACUCCUAUGGGAGGCAGCAGUAGGGAAUUUUCCAUAAUGGGCAAAAGCCUGAAGGAGCAAUGUCGCCUGGAGGUAGAAGGCCCAUGGGUCGUGAACUUCUUUUCCCGGAGAAGAAAAAAUGACAGUAUCUGAGGAAUAAGAAUCAUCUAACUCUGUGCCAGCAGCCGUGGUAAUACAGAGGAUGCAAGUGUUAUCUAGAAUGAUUAAGCAUAAAGCAUCUGUAGGUGGCUUUUUAAAUCCACCGUCAAAUGCCAGGGCUUAAGCCUGGACAGGCGGUGGAAGCUACCAAGCUGGAGUACAGUAGGGGCAGAGGGAAUUUCUGGUAGAGUGGUGAAAUGUGUAGAGAUCAGAAAGAACACCAAUGGCGAAAGCACUCUACUUGGUCGACACUGACACUGAGAGAUGAAAGCUAGGAGAGAAAAUGGGAUUAGAUACCCUAGUAUUCCUAGACGUAAAUGAUGGAUACUAGGUGCUGUGUGUGUCGACCCGUGCAGUGCUGUAGCUAACACGUUAAGUAUCCUACCUGGGGAGUAAGUUCGUAAAAAUAAAAGUCAAAGGAAAUGACGGGGGCCCGGACAAGUGGUGGAGCAUAUGGUUUAAUUUGAUGCAAAGCGAAGAACCUUACUAGGGCUUGACAUUCUGCGAAUCCUCUUGAAAGAGAGGGGUACCUUCGAGAAAGCGGACAUAGGUGGUGCAUGGCUGUCGUCAGCUUGUGCCGUAAGGUGUUGGGUUAAGUUCCACAAGAAGCACAACCCUCGUGUUUAGUUGACAUUGUUGAUUUUGGAACCCUAAACAGGCUGCCGGUGAUAAGCCGGAGAAAGGUGAGGAUGACGUCAAGUUAUCAUGCCCCUUAUGCCUUGGGCGACACACAUGCUAUAAUGGCCGGGAUAAAGGGCCGCUAUCCCAUGAGGGUGAGCUAACCCCAAAAACCCAUCCUCAGUUUUGAUUGUAGGCUGCAAGUCACCUGCAUGAAGUUGGAAUUGCUAGUAAUCGCCGGUCAGCCAUACGACAGUGAAUUCGUUCCUGGGCCUUGUACAAACUGCCCGUCACACUAUGGGAGCUGACCAUGCCCAAAGUCAUUACCUUAAUCGAAAGAAGGGGGAUGCCGAAGGCAGGGCUAGUUACUAGAGUAAAGUUAUUAGAAGGUAGCCAUACUAGAAGUUGCGGCUG